UUUUGCCACCGGAUUGCAAAAAAACUGCUGAAGAUAUUUCCAGGCUCCAGUAUUUUGAUGUGCCCUCAGGUGAAGAGUUGUCAAAGUUAUCGGCAGAGAUCCAGAUUAUCAAGAAUCAGUUCGAGCAAGACGCUGAAAUCCUGCGGGAAGUUGCCAAAAUCUCCGCAAACAUAAGAAGGACAGUAAAUCGGAAAACAAAAUAUGAAAUCACCGAUCAGGGGCCUUUUAUGGUGAUUCUGGAGGGGAUUACAAUUAAGGUGGGGACUCUUCAUCCUAUGAACUUUGGGAAGUUACUUCAAGCGCAGAAAGUUCAAGGUUUGGUCAUUGGAAAAACCAAUGUAAAAGCAAGGGUAGAUGUAGUUUCUGCGCUGGAGAUCAUCCAGUAUUUCAUUGUGAACUGAAAGAACAGUUUUAUAAGAAGAAACCAUGCCCGACAGACCACUUAAAUCAUGAAGGUAAAUGCAGCCUGGGUAAUUGCGAAAUAUCUCCAAAGCCAACUUGCAUCCACUGUAAAGGCUCUCAUCAGGCCACUGAUAGAUCAUGUCCGGAAAUGGACAGACAGAAGAAAAACAAUGAGGCUAUGGCAUGGUACAACCUAUCCUUUUUUGAAGCGGCCAAACUCUUUCCAAGAGGCCCCAAAUCAAUUAGAAUUUCAAAAGAAGAACUCCUUCGCUGGAGAAGAUCCGAAAACUCGACAUUUAGAACUUCUGAGAUUAGUCUCCUUCGCUGGAGAAGAUCCGAAAAUCCUCGACAUUUGGAACUUUAAAGUUUAGUCUCCUUCGCUGGAGAAGAUCUGACAAUCCUCGACAUUUGGAACUUCAAAAAUCAGUCUUCUUCGCCAGAGAAGAUACGAAAAUCCUCGACAUUUAGAACUUCAAAAUUCUGUCUCCUUCCUGGAGAAGAUCCGAGAAUCCUCGACGGAAGUCGGCAAUGGGCGAAUGAUCCUGGUAGUCGUGCCCAACAGCUAUCUGUGAAACGCAUCAUUGAAUUGAAUU